rfam:Rhizobiales bacterium 68-8 SCNpilot_expt_1000_bf_scaffold_3732, whole genome shotgun sequence.
CCGUGGGCCACUCCUCCCCAAUGAGGAGCGAGCCAUCUGAAAGGAUGGAACCA